GACGAACGCUGGCGGCGUGCUUAACACAUGCAAGUCGAACGGACAGGCCCUGCGUUUGUGGGGUGCUCGAGAGGCGAACGGGUGAGUAACACGUGAGUAACACGCCCUUGAAUUAGGGGUAACACCAGGGAAAUCGGGCUCAAAUAGGAUAGGAGCUCUUGCACCGUGGGGGUGGUUGGAAAGAUUCGGCUGUUGGGGAUGGACUCGAGGGUUAUCCGCUUGUUUGUGGGGUAGUGGCUUACCAAGGCUUGGACGGGUAGCCGGCCUGAGAGGGUGACCGGCCACAUUGGGACUGAGGUACGGCCCAGACUCCUACGGGACGCAGCAGUGGGGAAUAUUGCACAAUGGGCGGAAGCCUGAUGCAGCAACGCCGCGUUCGGGAUGCCGGCCUUCGGGUUGUGAACCGCUUUCGCCUGUGACGAGGCGUGAGUGACGGUAAUGGGUAAAGAAGCACCGGCUAACUACGUG
rnacentral:rRNA from 1 species